rnacentral:rRNA from 1 species
UACGUAGGUGGCGAGCGUUAUCCGGAAUUACUGGGUGUAAAGGGUGAGUAGGCGGGGAUACAAGUCAGAUGUGAAAUGCAAAGGCUUAACCUUUGAACUGCAUUUGAAACUGUAUUUCUUGAGAGUCGGAGAGGUAAUCGGAAUUCCUAGUGUAGCGGUGAAAUGCGUAGAUAUUAGGAGGAACACCAGUGGCGAAGGCGGAUUACUGGACGACAACUGACGCUGAGACACGAGAGCGUGGGGAGCAAAC